rnacentral:lncRNA from 11 species
UGGCCAUGCAAGGAAUUCCAUGGCUGGCAAGAAGCAGAGAAGUCAACAAGUGAAUGAUCAACUCUCUUCCCUGCAUAGAUCAAUACAGGAAAGGGAUCCUUCUAUGAUCCACUGACUCUGAAAACAGAAGCAAGUGUUGUUCGCUGAACUCUUUAUCACUUUAUUAGCAACCUGAUACCACCUUACAGCAUUAACAAAAAUAAUCAACCCAAGGACAUUCUCUCAACAAGAAGAAUAAAUCUUCACCUUCAUUACGUUGACUCCAG